AACGGCAAAGUGGGUGGAGAAGGUGGGACCAAGAAGGGACCAGGAGGGAGAAAGGGGGACCAGGAAGAAGGUGGGACCACGAGGAACCAGGAGGGAGAAGGUUUGACCAGGAGGGAGAAGGUGGGACCACGAGGGACCAGGAGGGAGAAGGUGGGAGAAGGUUUGACCAGGAGGGAGAAGAUGGGACCAGAACGAAACCAGGAAGGAGAAUGUGGGACCAGGAAGAAGAAAGGGGGACCAGGAAGAAGGUGGGACCAGGAGGGAGAAAGAGGGACCAGGAGGGAGAAGGUGGGACCAGGAAGGAGAAAGGGGGACCACGAGGGAGAAAGAGGGACCAGGAGGGAGAAGGUGGGACCACGAGGGAGAAGGUGCGAGAAGGUUUGACCAGCAUGGAGAAGGUGGGACCAGGAUGGAGAAGAGGGGACCAGGAUGGAGAAGGUGGAACCAGGAAGGAGAAGGUGGAACCAGGAUGGAACCAGGAAGGAGAAAGGGGGACCAGGAAGGAGAAAGCGGGACCAGGAAGGAGAAAGGGGGACCAGGAAGAAGGUGGGACCAGGAGGGAGAAAGAGGGACCAGGAAGGAGAAGGUGGGACCAAGAGGGAGAAGGUGGGACCAGGAGGCAGAAGGUGGGAUCAGGAUGAAACCAGGAGGGAGAAUGUGGGACCAGGAAGGAGAAAGGGGGACCAGGAGGGAGAAAGGGGGACCAGGAGGGAGAAAGGGAGAUGAGGAUGAAACCAGGAGGGAGAACGUUUGACCAGGAGUGAAAAGUUGGGACCGGAAGGGAGAAAGGGGGACCACGAGGGAGAAGAGGGGACCAGGAAGGAGAAGGUGGGACGAGGAGGGAGAAGGUGGGACGAGGAGGGAGAAAGUGGGACCAGGAGGGAGAAAGAGGGACCAGGAAGAAGAAAGGGGGACCAGGAGGGAGAAAGGGGGACCAGGAGGAAGGUGGGACCAGGAGGAAGAAGGUGGGACCAGGAAGGAGAAGGUGGGACCAGGAGGGAGAAGGUGGGACGAGGAGGGAGAAAGGGGGAC